rnacentral:rRNA from 1 species
ACGCUCGACACCUACGGGGGGCAGCAGUGGGGAAUAUUGCACAAUGGGGGAAACCCUGAUGCAGCGACGCCGCGUGAAGGAAGAAGUAUUUCGGUAUGUAAACUUCUAUCAGCAGGGAAGAAACUGACGGUACCUGACUAAGAAGCACCGGCUAAAUACGUACCAGCAGCCGCGGUAAUCUGAGCGGGCUGGCAAGGC